rnacentral:rRNA from 1 species
CUUUUGCUGGCGACCGGCGCACGGGUGAGUAACACGUACCCAACCUGCCCUUUACUCGGGGAUAGCCUUUCGAAAGAAAGAUUAAUACCCGAUAGCAUAAUGAUUCCGCAUGGUUUCAUUAUUAAAGGAUUCCGGUAAAGGAUGGGGAUGCGUUCCAUUAGGUUGUUGGUGAGGUAACGGCUCACCAAGCCUUCGAUGGAUAGGGGUUCUGAGAGGAAGGUCCCCCACAUUGGAACUGAGACACGGUCCAA